rnacentral:rRNA from 1 species
CCUACGGGUGGCAGCAGUGAGGAAUAUUGGUCAAUGGGCGCGAGCCUGAACCAGUCAAGUCGCGUGAGGGAUGACGGCCCUACGGGUUGUAAACCUCUUUUGCCGGGGAGCAACGGGCGCCACGUGUGGCGCCACUGAGAGUACCCGGAGAAAAAGCAUCGGCUAACUCCGUGCCAGCAGCCGCGGUAAUACGGAGGAUGCGAGCGUUAUCCGGAUUUAUUGGGUUUAAAGGGUGCGUAGGCGGACGCUUAAGUCAGCGGUAAAAUUGCGGGGCUCAACCUCGUCGAGCCGUUGAAACUGGGUGCCUUGAGUGGGCGAGAAGUACGCGGAAUGCGUGGUGUAGCGGUGAAAUGCAUAGAUAUCACGCAGAACUCCGAUUGCGAAGGCAGCGUACCGGCGCCCAACUGACGCUGAAGCACGAAGGCGUGGGUAUCGAACAGGAUUAGAUACCCGGGUAGUC